rnacentral:rRNA from 1 species
CGUGGGUAACGUACCUAUAAGACUGGGAUAACUUCGGGAAACCGGAGCUAAUACCGGAUAAUAUUUCGAACCGCAUGGUUCGAUAGUGAAAGAUGGUUUUGCUAUCACUUAUAGAUGGACCCGCGCCGUAUUAGCUAGUUGGUAAGGUAACGGCUUACCAAGGCGACGAUACGUAGCCGACCUGAGAGGGCGAUCGGCCACACUGGAACUGAGACACGGUCCAGACUCCUACGGGAGGCAGCAGGC